CGAUCUCUUUUGUGGUUUUUGUUUUAGAAGCAAGUUGAUUUCACAGUGUUCAGAAAAUGUUCAGACUGAGUAACAACCUUGUUGGCAUCCUCAACUUCAUCACCUUCCUGCUCUCAGUCCCUAUCUUGGGAGCGGGAAUAUGGCUGAGCCACCGGGCCAGCACCGACUGCGAGAAGUUUUUGGAGAAGCCCGUGAUAGCGCUUGGUGUGUUUCUCAUGGUGGUGUCACUGGCGGGGCUGAUCGGGGCCUGUUGCAGAGUGUCGUGGCUUCUCUGGGUCUACCUACUGGUGAUGUUUCUCUUGAUCGUGCUUCUCUUCUGCUUCACCAUCUUCGCCUUUGUGGUCACUAACAAGGGUGCCGGAGAGGUUUUGUCUGGGAAGGGGUAUAAGGAGUAUAGGCUCGGGGAUUACUCCAAUUGGCUGCAAAAGAGAGUUAACAACACCAAGAACUGGAACAGGAUCAAGAGCUGUUUGCAGGAUGGCAAGGUGUGUCAGAGCUUGAGCCAGGACAAGGUUGGCGAAACUGUUCAGCAGUUUUAUGCGGAGCAGUUGUCUCCCAUUCAGGUAUGGCGUUUGUUUCAGAUCUGGGUUUUGUGUUCGUUUCAUUCUUCACAAAAUUCUUUUUUUUUGAUUCUGUAGCAUGUAUUUUUUUCGGAUCGAUCCGAUUCCACUUUUCAAUUUCUGUUUUUUCUGUUUCCUCCGUAGUUUUGAUUUAGGUUUAUUGCAAGAAAUCUCCCACACUGGUUUGAGAUUUGGAAGUUUUGAAAUUUCUUUUUGGGUCAAGAAAGAAGAAAGAUUCUCGUAGGGGCAAAAUUGAUUAUUAAACCUUUAGUUGAUUUAUUUAUUUUCCUUUUGGUAUUAUUUAAUUCAAUGCAUGUGCUGUAUUCUGUGAGUGAGUUUUCUUUAUCUUUUGCUUGUGAGAUUUUCUCGGAAAGAUAAGAGCCUUUUUGAAAUUGAAAAAUUCAAAAUUGGAGUGAAAUUCAAACUAGAUUUGAACUUUUCACGGGUUCUAAUUCAAGUCUGUAUGUAGUCUUUUGUUGAAUUUCUGUGAACCCUAAAUUGUUGUUCUGGGUUUCUUGCACGACUCUUGAGAAUUUUUGAAACUGGUUCCAGUUUAGCACUAUGCAGAACUGCCUUACCAAUUAACCCUCCAAGAAACGAUCUUCCCAUAUUAAUUCUCUCCAGAGGCUUUAUGUCCCUAUUCAUAGAAAUAAAUCAUCUGUUCAUAGAACUAAAUGCCUUGAUAAAAUUUUGUCCUUUUUCAGAUGUUGCUGUUCUUGUUGUCAUUAAACUACAAUCUGUUUCUGAUUGGUAUUUGUUUAUUUGCAGUCUGGUUGCUGUAAGCCAUCAAAUGAUUGUGGUUUCACCUAUGUCACUCCGACUAAUUGGACCUCGACGAACGCGGCUACAUACACCAACUCUGACUGUUCUUUGUGGAAUAAUGAGCCUAGCAUUCUGUGCUUCAAUUGCCAGGCGUGCAAAGCCGGAGUGCUGGACAAUCUGAAGCGUGAUUGGAAGAAGGUUGCCAUUAUCAACAUUAUAUUCCUUGUUUUCCUCAUUAUUGUAUACUCCAUUGGAUGCUGUGCAUUCAGGAACAACAGAGAGGACAAUGCUCAACCCAGAUGGAAGCCAUACCCUUGAGAUCAUUUCCAAUAGGUUGGAUUGGAUAUUAGUGAGGAGAGUUGUAGAGGGCUCCUACCUCUUAUUGUAUGAAUUCAGUAUUACUACCGUUGCAUUAGCAUUUGGUUCUUUUCUCUUGUAUAGCUUUCUGUGUAUGCUUGACAUUUCAUGUGACAUCGGAGCUAUGGUUCUUAUGUAGUUGGGGC
rnacentral:lncRNA from 1 species